UACGUAGGGUGCGAGCGUUAAUCGGAAUUACUGGGCGUAAAGCGUGCGCAGGCGGUUCGCUAAGACCGAUGUGAAAUCCCCGGGCUUAACCUGGGAACUGCAUUGGUGACUGGCGGGCUAGAGUAUGGCAGAGGGGGGUAGAAUUCCACGUGUAGCAGUGAAAUGCGUAGAGAUGUGGAGGAAUACCGAUGGCGAAGGCAGCCCCCUGGGCCGGAACUGACGCUGAGGCGCGAAAGCGUGGGGAGCAAACGGG
rnacentral:rRNA from 1 species